GGAUUUUCCAAAAAGCUGCUCUCCAUGUCAAGAUAUAAGGACAACCGAGACCUGCAGCCAUGGAUACGAAGUAUUUGUUGUCAUUCAUGGUAUUCCUGUGCAACCUGUGGAGGUGACCCUAAAGAGAACUUGAGGUGUUCCAUUCUGACCUACUGAAGUACUGCCCAAAAACACCGCACCGCAAGAACUCAACUAGUUAUCCUUGAUCACAACGAAAAUGUUCAUCAGCCUCAAGUCACAUCCACUACUGGAGUGCAUAGGUACAAGGUUGUUUUCCUGAAACAUACCAAAGAAUGGGUAACCAAACCGAUUUACAAACCCAUCACUCAAACAUUCAGAGACGUUCUGCAGCGGCGCCUGGACCCCAGAGUGGUCUUCAAGGUCGGUUCCUCUUAUGUGACCCAUCCACCAUUGCCACAGAACACUGCCCUACAACCAAGGCCUGAUGAGCACAAGGUCACAGCGUGACCUUUUGAUGUGAUUACGUAGUACACAGUGUUGUGGACGCGCAUCCCGGAGUUAGCGCUAGACGAGCUUUUGUGGUUAAAAAGUAUAACUUUUUUUAUUUUUUUAAUAAGAAAAUGAGUGAUGGUGUGUCUUGAUAAGAGUCUUCUCCCUGGGCUGGGAUGGAGGUUUAGAGCUCUGUGAAGCUGCAUUUAAACUGCAUUCUGGAAGCUCAAUCUCAGAGGCACCAUUGAGGUCCACUAUAUGGAGAAAAAUCCUGCAAUGUUUUCCUCAAAAAACAUCAUUUCUUUACCACUGAAGGAACAAAGGCAUGAACAUCUUGGAUGACCAGGGGGUGAGGAGAUUCAUUUAAAGAUGUUGUUCUGAAAGUGGAAUUCUCCUUUAAGAUUCAUUAAAAAGAAGACAACCGAAGGUAUGAUGUUUAUUUAAUUUGUGUUUAAAGAUAUUCCUAGACUAAUAUUAGUUGCUAACCACGAAUAGUUUGGUUCCAAGUGUUUGAACGUGGAUUCGAAUGAAGCAAUUCGUAACAUCAUGCAUAGAUACAGCAAGAGUCCAGAUUUGAUGAAGAACAUUAUACACAUGGUGGUGAGACUCCUGAAGCUCCGUCUGCUAGCUGUGAUUCAGUCAGGUUUAGUGGAAGCGGCGGUUAAAGAUAACAGUGCUUCAGUCAGGAGCCACGCUGACUCUUGGAAACACAUGGAAGCUGUUGCUGAGAAAGUUGACCUUAAUGACAUUGGAGUUGCGAAUUUGGAAAAAGAGAAUGGUAUGCUUCGACAAAAAUAUGGGGAAUUAGAUGAAGAUAUAAGAAGAUGGAUGCUGAGAGUUGCAGGUGCAGAGGAGCAGGUGAGAAUUUGAACCAGCUCUUCAUCUUCUGUGAGAUUCUUCAGGCAUGGCUGACCACCUUCCACAAGAGGAAAGUUUUAUUUUCGUUUGUGAAGGAGUACAAGACUUUUUCUUUUUCCAAGAAUGCUGUUCAUCUAAGGAAGAUAGAAAUGACAGAGGGGCAGUGGU